rnacentral:rRNA from 1 species
GAUGAACGCUGGCGGCGUGCCUAAUACAUGCAAGUCGAGCGAACGGAUAAGGAGCUUGCUCCUUUGACGUUAGCGGCGGACGGGUGAGUAACACGUGGGUAACCUACCUAUAAGACUGGGAUAACUUCGGGAAACCGGAGCUAAUACCGGAUAACAUUUGGAACCGCAUGGUUCUAAAGUGAAAGAUGGUUUUGCUAUCACUUAUAGAUGGACCCGCGCCGUAUUAGCUAGUUGGUAAGGUAACGGCUUACCAAGGCGACGAUACGUAGCCGACCUGAGAGGGUGAUCGGCCACACUGGAACUGAGACACGGUCCAGACUCCUACGGGAGGCAGCAGUAGGGAAUCUUCCGCAAUGGGCGAAAGCCUGACGGAGCAACGCCGCGUGAGUGAUGAAGGGUUUCGGCUCGUAAAACUCUGUUAUUAGGGAAGAACAAAUGUGUAAGUAACUGUGCACGUCUUGACGGUACCUAAUCAGAAAGCCACGGCUAACUACGUG